GAUCGAGAGAAGGGAGACGGACAUUCAGAUGUUCUAUAAUGCCACAAAAGGGGGUGUAGACACAUUCGAUCAGAUGUGUUCUACAUCAAAUUGUGUUUGUAAGACACGAAGCUGGCCACUUUGUCUUUUCUACGGGAUAUUGAAUAUAAUUAUGGUGAAUUCUUAUAUUCUCUAUUCAUCCCUGCCAUCGUCAAAGGGUAUGACAAGGCGAAGGUUCCUCAAGAAGAUUGCCCUCGAAUUUUGUGCUCCCCUUGUAAUUCAUCGGUAUUACACACUGACCAACUUGUCCAGGCCCCUCUGUGUGCUGAUGGAGUAUACAUUCAAGCUGGCUGAGCUGGAACAUAGACCUCCUCCUGCCGCUGGCCACGUCAAGCUGCCCAAGCAUGUUCGCUGCCAAAGCUGCCCAUCUAGAGAAGACCACAAGACAAACACAGCACGUUUGUGGUGCAACAGGCCCAUUUGCCUGCAGCAUCAAAUUGUCUUGUGUUCAAAGUGUCUAUUAUGUAGGUAGCAAAUUUGGCUGUUGCACUUGCCGUGCUCGGGGGCCAUUUUGUUAGCAUAUCCGAAAGGUGAUAGAUGUGGCCGUCGGAGUAGGUGUUGACUGCGGCCAUUUUGUUGGCAUAUCCGAAAGAUUUUGACCUCUAUGGGUCCGACACCUUCUCUGCCAGUCACAUAUUGUAAAUAGUAGGUUUAGGAAGGAUCCCUCAAUUUUUUUUGUGAACUAUAUAGAUAAUUUUGUAUUUUUGGUAAAUAUUUCCUUAAAU